GCCGUAACGGCGGUGACCGGCUAUAGGGCCGCAGCUGGCCCCCGCUUCUGUUUCACUGCGGGGGUCAGCGCCACACCUUCGGCCCUUACAGCCUCAGAUUCUGGAAUUGCCUCCCUCCCCAUCAAAUUUUUGCAAUUUCUCUGCGUAAAAUGAAUUUUAAAUCAUAGAAUAAUUUCCUUUCGAGGAGUGGGUCAGCAGUGCGCAGCGGCAGUGGUUGUCACACGGACAAAUUGUCCGGCACCUCGAGUCCGAGGGCACAGGGAGCUGUGUGUGCUGCCAAACAGCCCUUGGGGAAGAAAAUUGUCAAGAAAAUCUUAGAAAGUAAAUGGGAAGCACAUUUGGAAGUGCAGACUUGAAGCCAGGGAAACUGCUGGUAAUGGGAGUUGGAUCAGGAGGGGCGUAGAAAAGCUCUUGCAUGAACUCCCAGCCUGAACACCUGCUGGAGUAAACCAGGAGUACUUUGUGAUGGAAUGAAGAUACAGUGCAAGAAAACCUGCAUCCUGUACAGAUACAGGCCAGAAUGGGGAAACAUAAUGAGCUUCACUUCCUGGAGACAGAUAAAGGAGGUCUGAGAUCUGGCAGAAGACAACAUAUUUCAACAGCAGUUUCCAAGUUAGUGAUCUGAACUCCUGUCCAGGCAUGCAGAGAACACAAGUGGAUGGUUUUUGGGAUUAAUGGAGAGACUACACUGAAAAAGAAGGUGGGAAAAUGGCAAAUUUGGAAGUGCUCAGCACACAGGAAAAUCAGUGUGUUUUCAUUAGUCAUCUAAAAUAGGUGUUUAUGAAUGGAAGCCAAGGAUUCUACGUGAUUGUUUUGACAAGUAGCACUGAAUGCUGUUAUAUUUUAGGUCCUGAGUUUGCAAGCUGUGAUACUCUCCUUAAUUUAAAUCCAGAGAAAUAUUCAAAACUACAAAAAUAUCAUUAGUCAUCGGUGUAGAAUGUGUGAAACAGUUUUUCAUGAGGAGAACCUGUCAUGGUUUAACCCCAGCCAGCAACAAAGUACCAUGCAGCUGCUUGCUCACUCCUCCACCAGCAGGAUGGGGAAGAGAAUCAGAAGGGUAAAAGAUAGAGAACUCAUGGGUUGAGAUAAAGACACUUUAAUAGGUAAAGCAAAAGCUGCACACACAAGCAAAACAAACCAAGGAAUUAAUUCACUGUUUCCCAAUGGCAGGCAGGUGUUCAGCUACCUUUAGGAGAGCAGCACCUCAUCCCACGCAAUGGUUACUUGAGAAGACAAAUGCCAUAAUUCUAAAUGUCCCCCCUUCCUCCUUCUUCCCCCCAUGUUAGAUACUGAGCAUGGCAUCAUCUAGU